AUGAGGGCCUUAUUCUGGAACAUUAGAUGUUUCGGCGCUAGGGGGCGCAGGGACCAGCUUAAAGACUUGGUGCGGUCUGAAAAUGUGGAUUUUAUUGGCCAUGUCGAGACUAUCAAAUCUUCCUUCUCCUCUAGUGAACUAUUGGCCAUUGCUGGGAUAGAUAGAUUUAAUUGGAACUUUGUGGCCUCAGAUGGUCACUCGGGUGGUAUUCUCCUUGGUACCAAAAAAGAUAUUUUUGAUUUUGUUGCUUUUGACCAUGGCAUCUUUUGGGCUAGCACGGUGGUAUCUCACCGAUCUCUCAACUCUUUACUAGAAAUCAUGGUGGUAUAUGGUCCGACUGACCACUCUAUGUCUUACGUCGUUUUGGACGAACUUAGUACUAAAAUUGAGUCCUGUCAGCUGCCUCUCCUGAUUGGGGGCGAUUUUAACUUGUUG
rnacentral:rRNA from 1 species